rnacentral:rRNA from 1 species
GGAUGAACGCUGGCGGCGUGCCUAAUCCAUGCAAGUCGAGCGAACGGACGAGAAGCUUGCUUCUCUGAUGUUAGCGGCGGACGGGUGAGUAACACGUGGAUAACCUACCUAUAAGACUGGGAUAACUUCGGGAAACCGGAGCUAAUACCGGAUGAUAUUUUGAACCGCAUGGUUCAAAAGUGAAAGACGGUCUUGCUGUCACUUAUAGAUGGAUCCGCGCUGCAUUAGCUAGUUGGUAAGGUAACGGCUUACCAAGGCAACGAUGCAUAGCCGACCUGAGAGGGUGAUCGGCCACACUGGAACUGAGACACGGUCCAGACUCCUACGGGAGGCAGCAGUAGGGAAUCUUCCGCAAAGGGCGAAAGCCUGACGGAGCAACGCCGCGUGAGUGAUGAAGGUCUUCGGAUCGUAAAACUCUGUUAUUAGGGAAGAACAUAUGUGUAAGUAACUGUGCACAUCUUGACGGUACCUAAUCAGAAAGCCACGGCUAACUACGUG